rnacentral:lncRNA from 10 species
CCGCACGUCUCAGAAGCCCCGUGUGCGACUUUGACCGCCGCACGAUCCUCUGCCGGGGGAGGUGGGCCCGCUGCGCUUUGGGAGCACCCGCGCCCGACACUGAGGUCUCGGUGCUGUGUUCGGCCUCUUCGUCCCUGCGGGUCCCCUCUGGGAGCAGAGGCGGUCGGAAAACCCUGGGGCUGAAGUGCAGGCUUCGGGAGGACGCGACCUGCCAAGAUCAGCUCCCGGCACGUGAUGGGAGCCUGGCUCACCUUCCCCCAGCGCACGAUGGGCCGCAGCCUCCCCGGUCGGCCUGGCCUGCUGGAAAGGAGCAGCUCUGUUUCCAGAGGCUUCUGGCGAAGCCCACGGCCUCCCAUUGUUGGCUGAUUUAUAAGGAAAGAGGGGAAAGGCCAAGUGUGGAUGCCAUUAGCAUAACCUAAUCCAGACCCCAUGACAAGUCCAGGAUCCUGCAGGGAGAGGGCAUCCUUGAACGUGAAGGACUGGCUUUGGAAACUUGGCCUCCCGGAAGAAAGGUCUCCGGGCCCACCCACACCCACCUUGUGGACGCCCCCGCAGUCGAAUACACUCCACAGGAAGACGGACCACAAACAGCAGCAGCCUCCGGUGUCGGCCCAGUGAUCCGGGAGCUCAGAGUAAACCCAUGAAAGAGGAUCCUGAAAGAGCAAGGGCGGCCUCCAGGUGAAGGUGGUGGGCGGCCUCCAGGUGAAGGCGGCCUCCAGGUGAAGGUGGUCAGCACCCUCCCUUUGGCCAAGAGGAGACUGCAGUUUCAACUCAAAGAUUAUUCCUGAAUGAUGCAGCAAGCUUAAACUUCCUUAAAAACAAACCUCUGGGAAGAGGAAAACGAGGCAAGAUGCUGAGAAAAAGUCAUCUCCCACUCUGCCCUUCUCUGGCAAAUCGAAGUGUCCUCUUGUGGGAGGCGGUGGGCAGCGACACUCCUGUUGGACGUCAGUGCUCUCGGGAUGGGCCCGGCCACCCCGGAGCAGAACUCACUUAGGGCCUGGUGCCCCUGUGCCCAGUUCUCAGAACGUCGGAGUGCUCAGUUCUCAGAACGCCGGAGUGCCCCAUUCAUAACCUGCAGCCCCGUUCAUAGCCUGCAGCUCCCCUCCUUCCUCUCCUCCCGGUCGUCAGGGAGCACCCCCAGCUCCCCUCCCCACUCUCAAACCCUCCUCCUCCCUCCCCUCUCUCAUUUCCCUGUUUGCAGGAUCUCCUCCUGCCCACUCUCCAGCCCAGGUCCUCCCCUCUCAUCUCCAAUUCUGCUUCAUGGGCCAUGACAGCAGGCAGGCCAUGGCCUGCUCUCAGCAGUUUGAUCGAUGGACUAAGGAGAUCACUCCUAUGAGAGUGAAAAAGUCAAAUGUGCCUGAGAUUCGGAUGGGGAGCUCUCAAAGCUACGGAUUGCAAGAGUCAACACCGCCUCAAAAGUACAAGGCCGGCCGGGUGCAGUGGCUCACACCUGUAAUCCCAGCACUUUGGGAGACUGAGGCGGGUGGAUCACCUGAGGUCAGGAGCUCAAGACCAGCCUGACCAACAUGGUGAAAUCCCGUCUCUAUUAAAAAUACAAAAAAGAUUAGCCGGGUGUGGUGGUGCAUGCUUGUAGUCCCAGCUACUCGGGAGGCUGAGGCAGGGGGAGCACUUGAACCCGGGAGGUGGAGGUUGCAGUGAGCCGAGAUUGCACCAUUGCACUCCAGCCUGGGCAACAGAGUGAGACCCUGCCUCAAAAAAAUAAAAAAAUAAAAGUACGAGGCCCGGUUUAAAUGCAGGAGGAAUCUGGUGAGCGAGUUUCACUCUGAUGCAACAGAAAAGCCAAGCCAAGCCUUGGCUGUGCCUGGUCUUGGCCGGGGAGCCACAGGCAGGGUCUGCUGGUUUCGGUGUCAGGGGCACAUCCCCAGGACCACGUCUGAGAUGGGAAGUGCCUUGAUGGAAAACUGAUACCUUUUUCUUUCCGAGUAACUUUAGAACAUGUCGCUUCAAAUAUAACUAAUAUCCUGAUUUCAGUGGACUUGCAUGGAAGGAAACGCAAGUUCAUUUGCCAGUGGGGGGUGAGGACUGGGAGAGUGGGGAGCAGGGUGGGGAAGAGGGGAGCAUUCCACAAGCCGCAAGAGCCUGGACACCUCCAGCCUUCAAUAAAUAGCAUUUGAAUUUGCUGUGCCUAAUUCAACCUUGCAUUUGCGUAGUGAAAGUCAGGCCCGCGGUGUGUAUAGUUUGGCACAUGAGUUCAGCUCGGGUCCCCUUGAUCUGCUUCUGUGUUCUCACUCUCUCCCUGCCCGGCACGCCCCUCUUUUUCUAUCCAGAUGAGCGAAGGGGUGAAUUAGUCCAGAAAUGUUUCUGCUCCAGUCAAACAAACAUUAUCACCUGUCAGUCAAACAUUAUCACCUGUCAGUCACCAGAGACGUGCACGGGUGCCUUCUCCUUUGCCUCGAGGUUUCUAUGACCUGGGAAAAGCCCAUCCCAUUCCCGGAUGAGGCUUCCCUGCCACGGGUCACAGACACACGAGCUACGCCCCACCUUGCCAAAACUUUCAAGGUGGGAUGGAAGAAUCUGUCGUUUCUGCAUUUACGAUCCCGUACGUGUUCCGUGCUGCAUCUGUUCUGGUUGGGUUGUCUCUCCUCUCAAGGCCUCUUUUGACCCAAACUUACUGCAAAGCAGAUGAGUGAGCCAGAAGCUGCGCUGGGCGUUGGGGGUUGUGGCA